GGUGUGAGCCGCGCUGCAGGGCAUUGUGGGUAAGAUCUACAACAGUAUAAACAUUCCGACAACAAGUGGGGAAAAUGCACCGGAGGAGAACAGCAGCAAAACAGAUGACGGAGGUCAGAGGAAGAGAUUCCUGCCAGAUCCAGCUGAUCAACACAUGGACUCGAAUUACAGCAUUUCCUAUACUCCGACAACAAAAAGUGCAAAGUUUCGACCUUGCCUCAUCGCUCAACUCCCCAACGGGCUCAGGAGGCCGAGUCAUGUGUCCCCCGAAACAUGACCCGCCAAACCCGCCCGCUUAACCCAGAAGCCAGCCGCAACAAAGUGUCGGAGGAAACACCGGAGUCGCUAGAGCCAAGUAAAGCCCCCCUGGCUAAAUCUUCCCCUAACCCGGACGACACUGGGCCAAACGUGCACCGCCCGAUCACGGCCAGUUGUAGUACAGCCCGGGAACGAACCCGGGUCUGUAGUAAUACCUCUGGCACUGUGAUGCAGUAGCUUAGACCGCUGCGCCACUCGGGAGGCCCUUAUCAAUCAUUUCUGAUCCAUGGAUUAAAGUUGGAGCUUCAUUCACAGCCCUAGAUUCAAUGUACUUGUCUUUCUCCCAGGGUAUUAAGGAGACAAUGGCUCUGUGAAUAGCUGUAUAGUCGCCCAUGCACUAGAUUAGACUACCACUCCACCUCCAGCGGUCCAGCCGUGGCAUGGCAGAAAAAUAAUUCAAGAGUGCGCUGGAAAGGUCAGCUCAAUAAACGGCCCUCUCCAAUUAUUCUCCCGACAGCUGCAGAGGGUAAUAUCACAGAGGUCAGUUUCAUUAAGAGCUCUUUGUAAGAGCUAAGACCACCCACCCACACACACCUCAACUGAACCUAACUAUAGCAGAGUCUAAGAACUAUAGCUAGUGUUUUCAGCUACGCUGAAUGACGAAUGAUUUAUUUUGAUAUGAAUUAUGGCUCUCUGCAUGUCUGUAUAGGUUCAUCAUCAUAUCAUGCCCUUGUCCAUUGCAUGCUAAUUGAAAGGUUGAUGUCCUUCCUAGACGGGUUACAUCCUGCAAGAAAUGUCAAAGGGGCGAUACGUGCAUUUUACUGCUGGGUUAAGUGUCUAGUAUGCAUGCAUGUACACGUAAUGUCAAACAUAAGCCCGCUUCCAGUUACCGUAGGAAACAGCUUAUGUUAAACAGUUACCAUUAUCCUCACUUGGCCUCAUACUCUUCUUGGCUACCUCAGCCAGCGCUCCGAAGCCCAGUCCUACAGCCAGACCUGUGAGGACACAACACACCAGUGUCAUGACAUCCUGUCAUUAUGACAUCCUGUCAUAACAUGCUGUUAAGCUCUGGGUCGUUCAGUAGGGUACAACGUUAUGGAGCAUUCAGAUAGAAAUACAUUGUGUAGAACAGACAUGGUUCUCUGUCAUGAAGCUAAGGAAUCGUUCCAGCUCUAUUCAUGGCCUUUAUCGACAACGUUCAGAUUAUUGUGCCCUCCAAAAAAGGUUAAUAAACCUCAUUUUUACAUUCUUAAAAUAUUGCACAGUAUAGCCCAUUGAGUAAAUUGCAUCACCUAGCCUUUUGCUUUCCCCAUGACACAUCAGUCAGGUCAAAUCAGUUCCCGCUAGCUCUAGGAACAGUCAUUUAUGCCAGUCUAGUCUAUUUAAGACAGACGCAGUUCAGUCUUUUAUUUACAGACAGAUGUUAAUAAUAGAACCGCCGAGACUGUCUGAGAUUGUUUUGUCAUUUCAAUAACUUAAUUUCAAUAAAAACCUUGAACACAUGUCCCUACCGAAAUAAUUGCCGGGCCUCGAGGAGUACCAAUAGCCACCAGUCUAAUAAAUCCAUUUAACUAGAAAAGCCUGGCCUCAUUGGAUCCCCUUCGUACAAAUGUAAUUUGGUUGUGUUUAUAAAAGGUGUCAGGUAACAUUAGAAUAUGAAAUAUAAAUAUUUGAAGGAACAUAACCUUUUCAUUAGUUUGUUACUGUGGGCUAUACGUAAAAAUGAUUGUAUAUAUUUUUUUAAAACCGUAAUUUCAAGUAUAAAAGCCAUUACAUUCGUAGAGUGCCUUUAUUACAACUAUGAAAUAAAAAACAUGUGCAUUGAAAACACAGUAACAGCAUAUUUUUAUAGUGACAAAACAAAUAAAAAUACCCACACAGUCACUAAAGAAAAUAUCAGUAGCCUAAACAUCAGUAUAGGCUCCAAGCGUGCUUGUGAAUAGUGAAAUCAGCACAAAAGCAAGAAUGGCAUUGAAAGGCAGUGAAAAAAAAUACUCUA